CUUGAAUAAUGGUUGUUUACUUCGAACGAUCAACACACAUCAAUCUCAGAACUCUUCUAGGCAAGAUUUUUUUGAAAACGUUACUUUUUCACUAAUCUUUGUCAUCAUGCCCAUGUGGUGUUCUGGCCCUGGUUGUGCUAAUUACAAACAAGCGUGAAAAUGUGUUACCUUUCACCGUUCUACCUACCAGAGUUUCACCCCAAUUCUGCCAGUGGCUUGCGGCUAUCAAGAAUGAUGUGGUGGCCAAAGAUUUUCAGGCUGAACUGAUGGGGAACCCAUUUCGACUACAGCUGAAAAGUGAUGCGAUACCUUUUUUUUUUAUCACAACCAAACGGAAGAUUCUCAAUUAGAGGUUAUCUGGAGUCAAUCCACAGUGCCCUGCUGAAAAAUACCCCAAAGCGGGGGCGUUUUGGGUAUACAAGCAUGAGGGAGCGGACACACCUUGCGGUUAUGGAGCACAACAAGAUUCUGGAACAGAAACCAGCAAGGGACACUGAAAGGAGACGUGCAUUACCAGCAAAUCUUCUGCAAGAGGACCAAACAGUUGGUGGUUAAGAAGCACUACACCACUUUCGGGCAGAGUCUUAUCCAGCUGGCCGUUCACCGCAGACAGGACAAGCCCAUCGCCAUAAGCACAAAGAGUCUCAGCUUCCCCAGCCCACAUUGCCAGUGUACCGAAGCCAGAUAAAGGACUACGGCUGCGUUUUUCAUAAAUUGGUAUUUUGACCAAUCAGAUCAGUUCUGAAAAAGAUCUGAUGUGAUUAAGACCAAUUCAUGGGAAAAAAAUA